rnacentral:ncRNA from 1 species
CGUUCGAAAGAGCAAAUCUAUUGAAAAGUGGAGACGCAAAGCUAGAGGGGCUUCGAUGCAUCAAAGGCAACAUGCCAGCCUGUUGCCGAC